GAAACCGGAGCUAAUACCGGAUAAUAUUUUGAACCGCAUGGUUCAAAAGUGAAAGACGGUCUUGCUGUCACUUAUAGAUGGAUCCGCGCUGCAUUAGCUAGUUGGUAAGGUAACGGCUUACCAAGGCAACGAUGCAUAGCCGACCUGAGAGGGUGAUCGGCCACACUGGAACUGAGACACGGUCCAGACUCCUACGGGAGGCAGCAGUAGGGAAUCUUCCGCAAUGGGCGAAAGCCUGACGGAGCAACGCCGCGUGAGUGAUGAAGGUCUUCGGAUCGUAAAACUCUGUUAUUAGGGAAGAACAUAUGUGUAAGUAACUGUGCACAUCUUGACGGUACCUAAUCAGAAAGCCACGGCUAACUACGUGCCAGCAGCCGCGGUAAUACGUAGGUGGCAAGCGUUAUCCGGAAUUAUUGGGCGUAAAGCGCGCGUAGGCGGUUUUUUAAGUCUGAUGUGAAAGCCCACGGCUCAACCGUGGAGGGUCAUUGGAAACUGGAAAACUUGAGUGCAGAAGAGGAAAGUGGAAUUCCAUGUGUAGCGGUGAAAUGCGCAGAGAUAUGGAGGAACACCAGUGGCGAAGGCGACUUUCUGGUCUGUAACUGACGCUGAUGUGCGAAAGCGUGGGGAUCAAACAGGAUUAGAUACCCUGGUAGUCCACGCCGUAAACGA
rnacentral:rRNA from 1 species